UCGAGGGGUAUAGGUUUUCGGACCUAGAGACCGGCGCACGGGUGCGUAACGCGUAUGCAAUCUACCUUUUACAGAGGGAUAGCCCAGAGAAAUUUGGAUUAAUACCUCAUAGUAUUAUUGAAUGGCAUCAUUUAAUAAUUAAAGUCACAACGGUAAAAGAUGAGCAUGCGUCCCAUUAGCUUGUUGGUAAGGUAACGGCUUACCAAGGCAACGAUGGGUAGGGGUCCUGAGAGGGAGAUCCCCCACACUGGUACUGAGACACGGACCAGACUCCUACGGGAGGCAGCAGUGAGGAAUAUUGGUCAAUGGGCGCAAGCCUGAACCAGCCAUGCCGCGUGCAGGAUGAAGCAUCUAUGGUGUGUAAACUGCUUUUGUACGAGAAGAAACACUCCUACGUGUAGGAGCUUGACGGUAUCGUAAGAAUAAGGACCGGCUAACUCCGUGCCAGCAGCCGCGGUAAUACGGAGGGUCCAAGCGUUAUCCGGAAUCAUUGGGUUUAAAGGGUCCGUAGGCGGUUUUGUAAGUCAGUGGUGAAAGCCCAUCGCUCAACGGUGGAACGGCCAUUGAUACUGCAAGACUUGAAUUAUUGGGAAGUAACUAGAAUAUGUAGUGUAGCGGUGAAAUGCUUAGAGAUUACAUGGAAUACCAAUUGCGAAAGCAGGUUACUACCAAUAUAUUGACGCUGAUGGACGAAAGCGUGGGGAGCGA
rnacentral:rRNA from 1 species